rnacentral:lncRNA from 1 species
UUUUUUUUUUUUUUUUUUUUUUUUUUUUUUGGUGGUGGUAGUGGUGUUGUGAUAGUCUUGAUCUAUAGCUCAGGUUGUCCUAGAACUCAUUAUGUAGCUCAGGUUGGCCUUGAACUGGUAUCCUCCUGUUUUGUUCUCCCAAGUGCUGGGAUUAAUGGUUUGACUUUUGCAACAGUCAAAAUAUUUAGAAGGAAAUCUCUGCCCUUCCCCUUUUAACUCUGAGAAUAGAUGCUUGACCCAACUUUUGCCUGUUUAAAUUUUGAAAUAACAUUGAUGUUGUUAGACUUAGGGAUGUGCCCCCUCCCUCAUUUCCACUUUUAGUCCUGUUUGCUCUUGAGAUCUUUAUAAAAAUCUGUUGAGUAAAGGGCCUUUGGGAGUGCUAUUGGUUUCUUUUUUUGUGAAUGGCUUGAUGCUUUCAUGCUGUGAGUGGACAAAUAGAACCCAAGGUUGUCAAGGUUAUGAAAUGUGUGCUUGCUCAGCAUAUGUGAAACUAUGUGCUCUAUCUCUAAUGUCAAACCAGACCAAAUCAACCAAAGUUGCAAAUAGCUUCAUAUUAAGCUGGGUGUGGCAGCACACAUCUUUAGCUCUAGCCCUUGGGAGACAGAGGCAGGCAGAUCUCCCUGAGUUCAGGACUAGCUUAGUCUAUGUAGUGGGACCCUGUCUCAAACAAAAAAUUAACAACAAAAAAAUGUCGAGGGCUUUAGAAAUGGUUGAGGGUUAUAUAUUUUCCUCAGGACACAUAUCAGGUGCCUCACAACUACUGCCUGUUACUGUAGCUCCAGGAGACCUGACACGUCUGUCAUCUACAGGCAUGUGUAUAAACAGACACAAAUAUACAUACAAU